rnacentral:rRNA from 1 species
GUCCACGCCGUAAACGGUGGGAACUAGGUGUUGGCGACAUUCCACGUCGUCGGUGCCGCAGCUAACGCAUUAAGUUCCCCGCCUGGGGAGUACGGCCGCAAGGCUAAAACUCAAAGGAAUUGACGGGGGCCCGCACAAGCAGCGGAGCAUGUGGCUUAAUUCGACGCAACGCGAAGAACAUUACCAAGGCUUGACAUACACCGGAAACGUCUGGAGACAGGCGCCCCCUUGUGGUCGGUGUACAGGUGGUGCAUGGCUGUCGU